UGCUGAUAUACCUUUAGCUUCACACAUAAACUCACUUAGUUGUUCUAAUGUUUUUGGUCCAACUUGCAGGAUUUUUUUUACAUUUUUUAAAUUAACAUUCUGUUUUCACCAUUUCCCCUCUCGACUGAAAUACAAUGAUUCUGAGAGAGUUAAAAACUUCUAAUAUCUACCUCAUGUUUUAAGGGGAACUUCCAAAUCUUUGUCAUAUGCCUGAUCAAACACUGUCCGGAUGAUGGUUGGACAAACACAAGUGGUGGUCCUGGAAGCCUUGGGCUUUGCACAAAAAAGACAAAACAAAUGCAAAUGAAAAACACACCUGCACUAGUUUGACUGCUCAUGCACCAACAGAGGAUGAAUCUACCAAGUUUGAGUCACUGAAGUAAAACGCUGGGGUAAGACAAAGCUACAAUCUAAAUACAGAUUGUAAGCUUUAUCAUUACUAUAAUAUUGCUAUCGGGAUGUUUCUUCUUGACAGUGAACACAUUUAGAUGUUGGUUUAGAAUAUUUAAAUCACACAACUGAAGAAAUAGAAAUGAUAACAAAAUAAAAUCACUCUAAUCAUAUAUUCUAUGUGUGAAAUUCCUUUUUUUCCAUUACGGUCUUGUAGUAACCCUUGAAGAAACCUUAGCAGUCAGGAUGGCCGAGUGGUCCAAGGCGCCAGACUCAAGGGUUGCUCCUUCCUGAGUACAGAGAUUUCUGGUCUCCAAAUGGAGGCGUGGGUUCAAAUCCCACUCCUGACAGUGCAAAAGUCUUUCUCUUGUUAAUUUCCCAGUUUGGGAUCAAUAAAGUCUAUCUAUUUAUCUAUCUAUCUAUUUGAAAAUACUCAUUAAAGGCUGGAUUAGUUAAAAAAAGUUUGGACAUCUCAAUCAUUGAUGUGCCAGUCUUACAACUGUAUCUGGAAACUACAAAUACUUAAUACUGUGGAGCUGAGUAAAAACUAGGUCAUCUGUCAAGUGCUCUCUCUUUUUGUAAUUGUGGUCCAGACAUACAGGUCAUUAAACCUGCUACACUCUGAAAACACAGCUGCACACUUGGGGAUUACAUGCAACCAAACUAUACCAGAAUUUCACAAGAGGAGCUUCUUUCCUCUGGGUUUCUGAGACCAAUAUUGCAGAAACUAAGCUGAAAAGUUGUUCCACACAGUGUCUCACUUUCUCCGAUUACCAAAGAAUUUCCAUAGUUGCAUAGACAAAGCUGUACCCCACAGACUGAGCAGAUUUCCUCUGAAACACUCCCAAAAUAAAAUCCUUCCCAGACCAAAAACUUUCCAUCCCAAAUUCCACAGUAACACUUUAUGGAAGUCUCUACAAAUAAACGCUUUAUGAAGAAAGUGUCAAUCCAGUCAAGAGGAAGCUCGGUGAACAAAACCUCCAGCCAAAACGAGGAAACCAAGCUGAAAUCAGGAAAGCCCAAACCCUGAUGCCGUGCAGUUGGAUGCAAUAAACUGCUCUGUUUUACCAUGGCUAAAGGAAAAAAAACUGUCUGGACCAAAUGUAACAUAGUGGAUUUCUUUGUUAAGACUUGAGAGGAAACUUACGAGUUAGAUCUCUAACAGGAAUGAAAACACUAUAUGUACAGUAUUUGCUGUUUGCUGGAAAUGUUAAAUCACCUUCAUUUAUGCCUUUCUCUUCUUCUGUUGAUUUAGGACACUUUGUUUUUAUUUCCUAAGGAAGCUGCACAUGUGGUAAUGGAGAAAACAGGCACAUUCGAAAGAACAUUAAGUUGACAACAGUAUAAUGAGACCCUUUGAAGCAUACUGUGCUUUUGUGAUUGUGAGCCAGCAACUUAACCUCUUUUGUUCUUAUAACAGUCUUUAUUACCUUCUUUCUGUAAUCAUAACCUGAAUAUUGGAUCCAACAUUUAACCACAGAUUAGCCUGAGACUCCAUUAACAUUGGUACUUUGUCUGUAUGCAUCAUUUCCUGCAAUUCUGUCCACAGUACAAAUGAGCAUCUCUGCUCUACUGUUCUCUUUGUAGCUCACCUACUCACAUCCCCCCUCUCUGUGUGUGUGUGUGUGUGUGUGUGUGUGUGUGUGUGUGUGUGUGUGUGUGUGUGUGUGUGUGUGUGUGUAAACAGGCCAUAUUCUUGUAAUUGGCAUUACACUCCACUCAUGGCAAACACCUUAAAAGGCUUCAGAGUGUUUUCAUGAACAUUUUGCAGAAUCAAGCCUGAUCAUAAUGGGACAGAAGGACAACAGACACCCAAGCCUUUUAUCUAUCCUAACACAAUCUUUUAGCACAUGAGCAUGAAUGCUUACCCUGUUUACUUUUCACACACAUCAGUGACACUUCCACCUUCACUCACAUCCCUAUAACCUGCCUCUCUGCUAUAUUUGUCAGUGUGUUUACCUUGAUUUAUUUUACACAUUGAUGUGUGUGCCAUAGAUAAAUACUUACCCUGAUGCUAGUGACACACAUUUCACACUUCUUCACUGCUGAUGGAUAGCUGUCAUGUCCGCUUACAAACCAAAAAAAUAAAGAAAAUAUUACAUUAAUGUGCUGGAAUCUGUUAUUUUGUACUUCAUACCUCAUUAACAUCUCAACAUCUAACCAAAAUAGUCCCCCCUCAGCUGUAUUACUGACAUGCUUGGCUGGUACUGUAAAGUUAAUUAAAUUCACUAUUGACCGAAUUUAGAUGGGGACUUUUUUUUCCAUACCUACAUAAAUGAAUAAAUCUCUCACCAACACCUUGUAACAUAGCUAUUAUUCUUAUGCAGGACUAUUCUACUAAAAUUUAGAAACAUUUAUUUAUUUAUUUUAGGGCUGUCUUGAAAUUGGCACUUUGAUCAGUGUGCUCUUUUGGCCCUGGUGGCUUAGCUGUAGUUGAGCUGCAUGAUGGGAAACAGCCUCAGGGCAAUUUGAAUAGUGUAUUUCACUCUAAAAAAAGAUCAGCAAAUGUGUUGUUGUUCUUGGGCUAGCAUUAGCUUCAGUUAGCAAGCAGGUGCUAGCUAGCUGCUGUGUGCAAAUUUAUGUUAGUAAAUCCUGCUUAUUCGACCUAAGCAAUUCUACAGUCAUGCAUACUCAAACUCUAAUGUGUAUUAAAUCUAGUAAAGCAUCUAAGCAUUUGAGUUGAACCUUGAUUGUCUGUCUUGAUUUUUUAGUAUCCGUCCACAAAAAGGAAGAGUCAAUAAUGUCCAACAUUCCCAUUGACACACAUUUUAUCUGACGCCACCUUUUAAAAACCAGACUGAACCCAUCAUCAACACAGAGCUUUGACUUUGAGGUUUUGGUUAUUGAAGAGGUACCUCUUGUACAGAGAUUUUCUUGACAAGGUCUCACCACCUUGAACCAUGAAUUAUGACUGGUAUGACUCACACUGAUCACCUUGAGUAACUGGCCUCUACUCUAUUUGUCCCAUUGCAGCUAGGGUUAGGGUUAGGGUUAGGAUUGCAGCUAGGGUUAGGGUUAGGGUUAGGGUUGGAGCUAGGGUUAGGGUUAGUGUUGCAGCUAGGGUUAGGGUUAGGGUUGGAGCUAGGGUUAGGGUUAGGGUUAGGGUUGCAGCUAGGGUUAGGGUUAGGGUUAGGGUUAUGGUUGGAGCUAGGGUUAGGGUUAGGGUUAGGGUUGUAGCUAGGGUUAGGGUUAGGGUUAGGGUUGGAGCUAGGGUUAGGGUUAGGGUUGCAGCUAGGGUUAGGGAUAGGGUUGGAGUUAGGGUUAGGGUUAGGGUUGAGGCUGGGGUUAGGGUUAGGGUUGGAGUUAGGGUUGAGGUUAAGGUUGGAGAUCGGGUAAGGGUUAGGGUUAGGGUUGCAGCUAGGGUUAGGGUUAUGGUUAGUGUUGCAGCUAGGGUUAGGGUUAGGGUUGGAGUUAGGGUUAGGGUUAGGGUUGCAUCUAGGGUUAGGGUUAUGGUUAUGGUUGGAGCUAGGGUUAGGGUUAGUGUUGCAGCUAGGGUUAGGGUUAGGGUUAGGGUUGGAGCAAGGGUUAGGGUUAGGGUUGGAGUUAGGGUUAGGGUUAGGGUUGGAGCUAUGGUUAGGGUUAGGGUUAGGGUUGGAGCUAGGGUUAGGGUUAGGGUUGCAGAUAGGGUUAGGGUUAGGGUUGGAGCUAGGGUUAGGGUUAGGGUUGCAGCUAGGAUUAGGGUUAGGGUUAGGGUUGCAGCUAGGGUUAGGGUUAGGGUUAGGGUUAUGGUUGGAGCUAGGGUUAGGGUUAGGGUUUGAGCUAGGGUUAGGGUUAGGGUUAGGGUUAGUGUUGCAGCUAGGGUUAGGGUUAGGGUUAGGGUUGGAGCUAGGGUUAGGGUUAGGGUCAGGGUUGCAGCUAGGGUUAGCGUUAGGGUUAUGGUUGGAGCUAUGGUUAGGGUUAGGGUUGUAGCUAGGGUUAGGGUUAGGGUUAGGGUUGGAGCUAGGGUUAGGGUUAGGGUUGCAGCUAGGGUUAGGGAUAGGGUUGGAGUUAGGGUUAGGGUUAGGGUUGAGGCUAGGGUUAGGGAUAGGGUUUGAUCUAGGGUUAGGGUUAGGGUUAGUGUUGCAGCUAGGGUUAGGGUUAGGGUUAGGGUUGGAGCUAGGGUUAGGGUUAGGGUUAGGGUUGCAGCUAGGGUUAGGGUUAGGGUUAGGGUUAAGGUUUGAGCUAGGGUUGGGGUUAGGGUUAGGGUUGUAGCAAGGGUUAGGGUUAAGGUUAGGGUUGGAGCUAGGGUUAGGGUUAGGGUUGCAGCUAGGGUUAGGGUUAGGGUUAGGGUUGGAGUUAGGGUUAGGGUUAAGGUUGGAGCUCGGGUAAGGGUUAGGGUUACGGUUGCAGCUAGGGUUAGGGUUAUGGUUAGUGUUGCAGCUAGGGUUAGGGUUAGGGUUGGAGCUAGGGUUAGGGUUAGGGUUGCAGCUAGGGUUAGGGUUAUGGUUGGAGCUAGGGUUAGGGUUAGUGUUGCAGCUAGGGUUAGGGUUAGGGUUGGAGCUAGGGUUAGGGUUAGGGUUGGAGUUAGGGUUAGGGUUAGGGUUGGAGCUAGGGUUAGGGUUAGGGUUGCAGCUAGGUUUAGGGUUAGGGUUAGAGUUAUGGUUGGAGCUAGGGUUAGGGUUAGGGUUAGGGUUGGAGCUAGGGUUAGGGUUAGGGUUAGGGUUGGAGCUAGGGUUAGGGUUAGGGUUGGAGCUACGGUUAGGUGUGGGGUUAGGGUUGCAGCUAGGGUUAGGGUUAGGGUUUGAGCUAGGGUUAGGGUUAGGGUUAGUGUUGCAGCUAGGGUUAGGGUUAGGGUUAGGGUUGGAGCUAGGGUUAGGGUGAGGGUUGCAGCUAGGGUUAGGGUUAGGGUUAGGGUUAUGGUUGGAGCUAGGGUUAGGGUUAGGGUUAGGGUUGUAGCUAGGGUUAGGGUUAGGGUUAGGGUUGGAGCUAGGGUUAGGGUUAGGGUUGCAGCUAGGGUUAGGGAUAGGGUUGGAGUUAGGGUUAGGGUUAGGGUUGAGGCUGGGGUUAGGGUUAGGGUUGGAGCUAGGGUUAGGGUUAGGGUUGGAGUUAGGGUUAGGGUUUGAGCUAGGGUAAGGGUUAGGGUUGCAGCUAGGGUUAGGGUAAGGGUUUGAGCUAGGGUUAGGGUUAGGGUUGCAGCUAGCUUUAGGGUUAGGGUUGGAGCUAGGGUUAGGGUUAGGGUUGCAGCUAGGGUUAGGGUUAGGGUUGCAGCUAGGGUUAGGGUUAGGGUUGGAGCUAGGUUUAGGGUUAGGGUUGAGGCUGGGGUUGGGGUUAGGGUUAGGGUUGCAGCUAGGGUUAGGGUUAGGGUUGGAGCUAGGGUUAGGGUUAGGGUUGGAGUUAGGGUUAGGGUUAAAGCUAGGGUUAGGGUUAGGGUUAGGGUUGAGGCUAGGGUUAGGGUUAGGGUUAGGGUUGCAGCUAGGGUUAGGGUUAGGGUUAGGGUUGCAGCUAGGGUUAGGGUUAUGGUUAUGGUUGGAGCUAGGGUUAGGGUUAGGGUUGGAGUUUGGGCUAGGGUUAGGGUUGCAGCUAGGGUUAGGGUUAGGUUUAGGGUUGAGGGUAGGGUUAGGGUUGCAGCUAGGGUUAGGGUUGGGGUUGAGGCAAGGAUUAGGGUUAGGGUUGGAGCUAGGGUUAGGGUUAUGGUAUGAGCUAGGGUUAGGGUUGGAGUUAUGGUUCGAGUCGGAGCUAGGGUUAGGGUUAGGGUUAGGGUUGCAGCUAGGUAGGGUUAGGGUUAGGGUUGGAGCUAGGGUUAGGGUUAGGGUUGCAGCUAGGGUUACGGUUAGGGUUAGGUUUGCAGCUAGGGUUAGGGUUAGGUUUAGGGUUUGAGCUAGGGUUAGGGUUAGGGUUGGAGUUAGGGUUAGGGUUAGGGUCGGAGCUAGGGUUAGGGUUAGGGUUGGAGUUAGGGUUAGGGUUAGGGUUGGUGCUAGGGUAAGGGUUAGGGUUAGGGUUGCAGCUAGGGUUAGGGUUAGGGUUAGUGUUGCAGCUAGGGUUAGGGUUAGGGUUGGAGCUAGGGUUAGGGUUAGGGUUUGGGUUGCAGCUAGGGUUAGGGUAAUGGUUAUGGUUGGAGCUAGGGUUAGGGUUAGUGUUGCAGCUAGGGUUAGGGUUAGGGUUGAAGCUAGAGUUAGGGUUAGGGUUGGAGCUACGGUUAGGGUUAGGGUUGGAGCUAGGGUUAGGGUUAGGGUUAGGGUGCGAGCUAGGUUUAGGGUCAGGGUUAGGGGUUAGGGUUAGGGUUAGGUUUAGUGUUGAGGGUAGGGUGAGGGUUGCAGCUAGGGUUAGGGUUGGGGUUGAGGAAAGGGUUAGGGUUAGGGUUGGAGCUAGGGUUAAGGUUAUGGUUGGAGCUAGGGUUAGGGUUGGAGUUAUGGUUCGAGUUGGAGCUAGGGUUAGGGUUAGGGUUAGGUUUGCAGCUAGGUAGGGUUAGGGUUGGAGCUAGGGUUAGGGUUAGGGUUGCAGCUAGGGUUAGGGUUAGGGUUAGGUUUGCAGCUAGGGUUAGGGUUAGGGUUAUGGUUUGAGCUAGGGUUAGGGUUAGGGUUGGAGUUAGGGUUAGGGUUAGGGUCGGAGCUAGGGUUAGGGUAAGGGUUGGAGUCAGGGUUAGGGUUAGGGUUGGUGCUAGGGUAAGGGUUAGGGUUAGGGUUGCAGCUAGGGUUAGGGUUAGGGUUAGUGUUGCAGCUAGGGUUAGGGUUAGGGUUGGAGCUAGGGUUAGGGUUAGGGUUUGGGUUGCAGCUAGGGUUAGGGUUAGGGUUAUGGUUGGAGCUAGGGUUAGGGUUAGUGUUGCAGCUAGGGUUAGGGUUAGGGUUGGAGCUAGGUUUAGGGUUAGGGUUGUAGCUACGGUUGGGGUUAGGGUUGGAGCUAGGGUUAGGGUUAGGGUUAGGGUUGGAGCUAGGGCUAGGGUUAGGGUUAGGGUUGCAGCUAGGGUUGGCGCUAGGGUUAGGGUUAGGGUUCGAGCUAGGGUUAGGGUUAGGGUUAGGGUUGCAGCUAGGGUUAGGGUUAUGGUUGGAGCUAGGGUUAGGGUUUAAGCUAGGGUUAGGGGUAGGGUUAGUGUUGCAGCUAGGGUUAGGGUUAGGGUUGGAGCUAGGGUUAGGGUUAGGGUUAGGGUUGCAGCUAGGGUUAGGGUUAGGGUUGGAGCUAGGGUUAGGGUUAGGGUUGCAGCUAGGGUUAGGGUUAGGGUUAGGGUUAAGGUUGGAGCUAGGGUUAGGGUUGGAGCUAGGGUUAGGGUUAGGGUUAGGGUUGGAGCUAGGGUUAGGGUUAGGGUUGCAGCUAGGGUUAGGGUUAGGGUUGGAGUUAGGGUUAGGGUUGGAGCUAGGGUUAGGGUUAGGGUUAGGGUUUGAGCUAGGGUUAGGGUUAGGGUUGGAGCUAGGGUUAGGGUUAGGGUUAGGGUUGCAGCUAGGGUUAGGGUUAGGGUUAGGGUUGCAGCUAGGGUUAAGGUUAGGGUUAGGGUUGCAGCUAGGGUUAGGGUUGCAGCUAGGGUUAGGGUUAGGGUUAUGGUUGGAGCUAGGGUUACGGUUGCAGCUAGGGUUAGGGUUAGGGUUAGGGUUAUGGUUGGAGCAAGGGUUAGGGUUAGGGUUGGAGCUAGGGUUAGGGUUAGGGUUAGGGUUGCAGCUAGGGUUAGGGUUAGGGUUAGGGUUGGAGCUAGGGUUAGGGUUAGGGUUGCAGCUAGGGUUAGGGUUAGGGUUAGGGUUGGAGCUAGGGUUAGGGUUAGGGUUGGAGCUAGGGUUAGGGUUAGGGUUGGAGCUACGGUUAGGGUUAGGGUUGGAGUUAGGGUUAGGGUUAGGGUUAGGGCUGGAGCUAGGGUUAGGGUUAGGGUUAGGGUUGCAGCUAGGGUUAGGGAUAGGGUUAGGGUUAAGGUUGGAGCUAGGAUUAGGGUUGUAGCUAGGGUUAGGGUUAGGGUUAGGGUUAGGUUUAGGGUUGGAGCCAUGGUUAGGGUUAGGGUUAGGGUUGCAGCUAGGGUUGGCGCUAGGGUUAGGGUUAGGGUUCGAGCUAGGGUUAGGGUUAGGGUAAGGGUUGCAGCUAGGGUUAGGGUUAGGGUUAUGGUUGGAGCUAGGGUUAGGGUUUGAGCUAGGGUUAGGGUUAGGGUUAGUGUUGCAGCUAGGGUUAGGGUUAGGGUUAAGGUUGGAGCUAGGGUUAGGGUUAUGGAUAGGGUUGCAGCUAGGGUUAGGGUUAGGGUUAGGGUUGGAGCUAGGGUUAGGGUUAGGGUUAGGGUUGCAGCUAGGGUUAGGGUUAGGGUUAGGGUUAAGGUUGGAGCUAGGGUUAGGGUUGUAGCUAGGGUUAGGGUUGGAGCUAGGGUUAGGGUUAGGGUUGCAGCUAGGGUUAGGGUUAGGGUUGGAGUUAGGGUUAGGGUUGGAGCUAGGGUUAGGGUUAGGGUUAGGGUUUGAGCUAGGGUUAGGGUUAGGGUUGGAGCUAGGGUUAGGUUUAGGGUUAGGUUGCAGCUAGGGUUAGGGUUAGGGUUAGGGUUGCAGCUAGGGUUAAGGUUAGGGUUACGGUUGCAGCUAGGGUUAGGGUUAGGGUUGGAGCUAGGGUUAGGGUUAGGGUUGGAGCUACGGUUAGGGUUAGGGUUGGAGCUAGGGUUAGGGUUAGGGUUAGGGUUGGAGCUAGGGUUAGGGUUAGGGUUAGGGUUGCAGCUAGGGUUAGGGUUAGGGUUAGGGUUAGGGUUAGGGUUUGAGCUAGGGUUAGGGUUGGAGCUAGGGUUAGGGUUAGGGUUGGAGCUACGGUUAGGGUUAGGGUUGGAGCUAGGGUUAGGGUUAGGGUUAGGGUUGGAGCUAGGGUUAGGGUUAGGGUUGCAGCUAGGGUUAGGGUUAGGGUUAGUGUUGGAGUUAGGGUUAGGGUUAGGGUUGCAGCUAGGGUUAGGGUUAGGGUUAGGGUUGGAGCUAGGGUUAGGGUUAGGGUUAGGGUUGCAGCUAGGGUUAGGGUUAGGGUUAGGGUUGGAGCUAGGGUUAGGGUUAGUGUUGCAGCUAGGGUUAGGGUUAGGGUUGGAGCUAGGUUUAGGGUUAGGGUUGUAGCUACGGUUGGGGUUAGGGUUGGAGCUAGGGUUAGGGUUAGGGUUAGGGUUGGAGCUAGGGUUAGGGUUAGGGUUGCAGCUAGGGUUGGCGCUAGGGUUAGGGUUAGGGUUCGAGCUAGGGUUAGGGUUAGGGUUAGGGUUGCAGCUAGGGUUAGGGUUAUGGUUGGAGCUAGGGUUAGGGUUUAAGCUAGGGUUAGGGUUAGGGUUAGUGUUGCAGUUAGGGUUGGAGCUAGGGUUAGGGUUAGGGUUGCAGCUAGGGUUAGGGUUAUGGUUGGAGUUAGGGUUAGGGUUAGGGUUGCAGCUAGGGUUAGGGUUAGGGUUAGGGUUAAGGUUGGAGCUAGGGUUAGGGUUGUAGCUAGGGUUAGGGUUAGGGUUAGGGUUGGAGCUAGGGUUAGGAUUAGGGUUGCAGCUAGGGUUAGGGUUAGGGUUGGAGUUAGGGUUAGGGUUGGAGCUAGGGUUAGGGUUAGUGUUAGGGUUUGAGCUAGGGUUACGGUUAGGGUUGGAGCUAGGGUUAGGGUUAGGGUUAGGGUUGCAGCUAGGGUUAGGGUUAGGGUUAGGGUUGCAGCUAGGGUUAAGGUUAGGGUUAGGGUUGCAGCUAGGGUUAGGGUUGCAGCUAGGGUUAGGGUUAGGGUUAUGGUUGGAGCAAGGGUUAGGGUUAGGGUUGGAGCUAGGGUUAGGGUUAGGGUUAGGGUUGCAGCUAGGGUUAGGGUUAGGGUUAGGGUUGGAGCUAGGGUUAGGGUUAGGGUUGCAGCUAGGGUUAGGGUUAGGGUUAGGGUUGGAGCUAGGGUUAGGGUUAGGGUUGGAGCUAGGGUUAGGGUUAGGGUUGGAGCUACGGUUAGGGUUAGGGUUGGAGCUAGGGUUAGGGUUAGGGUUGGAGCUAGGGUUAGGGUUAGGGUUAGGGUUGCAGCUAGGGUUAGGGAUAGGGUUAGGGUUAAGGUUGGAGCUAGGGUUAGGGUUGUAGCUAGGGUUAGGGUUAGGGUUAGGGUUAGGUUUAGGGUUGGAGCUAGGGUUAGGGUUAGGGUUAGGGUUAGGGUUGCAGCUAGGGUUGGCGCUAGGGUUAGGGUUAGGGUUCGAGCUAGGGUUAGGGUUAGGGUAAGGGUUGCAGCUAGGGUUAGGGUUAGGGUUAUGGUUGGAGCUAGGGGUAGGGUUUGAGCUAGGGUUAGGGUUAGGGUUAGUGUUGCAGCUAGGGUUAGGGUUAGGGUUAAGGUUGGAGCUAGGGUUAGGGUUAUGGAUAGGGUUGCAGCUAGGGUUAGGGUUAGGGUUAGGGUUGGAGCUAGGGUUAGGGUUAGGGUGAGGGUUGCAGCUAGGGUUAGGGUUAGGGUUAGGGUUAAGGUUGGAGCUAGGGUUAGGGUUGUAGGUAGGGUUAGGGUUAGGGUUGGAGCUAGGGUUAGGGUUAGGGUUGCAGCUAGGGUUAGGGUUAGGGUUGGAGUUAGGGUUAGGGUUGGAGCUAGGGUUAGGGUUAGGGUUAGGGUUUGAGCUAGGGUUAGGGUUAGGGUUGGAGCUAGGGUUAGGGUUAGGGUUAGGGUUGCAGCUAGGGUUAGGGUUAGGGUUAGGGUUGCAGCUAGGGUUAAGGUUAGGGUUAGGGUUGCAGCUAGGGUUAGGGUUGCAGCUAGGGUUAGGGUUAGGGUUGGAGCUAGGGUUAGGGUUAGGGUUAGGGUUGCAGCUAGGGUUAGGGUUAGGGUUAGGGUUGGAGCUAGGGUUAGGGUUAGGGUUAGGGUUAGGGUUAGGGUUGGAGCUAGGGUUGGGUUAGGGUUAGGGUUGCAGCUAGGGUUGGCGCUAGGGUUAGGGUUAGGGUUCGAGCUAGGGUUAGGGUUAGGGUUAGGGUUGCAGCUAGGGUUAGGGUUAGGGUUAGGGUUAUGGUUGGAGCUAGGGUUAGGGUUUGAGCUAGGGUUAGGGUUAGGGUUAGUGUUGCAGCUAGGGUUAGGGUUAGGGUUAAGGUUGGAGCUAGUGUUAGGGUUAGGGUUAGGGUUGCAGCUAGGGUUAGGGUUAGGGUUAGGGUUGGAGCUAGGGUUAGGGUUAGGGUUAGGGUUGCAGCUAGGGUUAGGGUUAGGGUUAGGGUUAAGGUUGGAGCUAGGGUUAGGGUUGUAGCUAGGGUUAGGGUUAAGGUUAGGGUUGGAGCUAGGGUUAGGGUUAGGGUUGCAGCUAGGGUUAGGGUUAGGGUUUGAGUUAGGGUUAGGGUUGGAGCUAGGGUUAGGGUUAGGGUUAGGGUUUGAGCUAGGGUUAGGGUUAGGGUUGGAGCUAGGGUUAGGGUUAGGGUUAGGUUGCAGUUAGGGUUAGGGUUAGGGUUAGGGUUGCAGCUAGGGUUAAGGUUAGGGUUAGGGUUGCAGCUAGGGUUAGGGUUGCAGCUAGGGUUAGGGUUAGGGUUAGGGUUAUGGGUGGAGCUAGGGUUACGGUUGCAGCUAGGGUUAGGGUUAGGGUUAGGGUUAUGGUUGCAGCUAGGGUUAGGGUUGGAGUUAUGGUUCGAGUCGGAGCUAGGGUUAGGGUUAGGGUUAGGGUUGCAGCUAGGUAGGGUUAGGGUUGGAGCUAGGGUUAGGGUUAGGGUUGCAGCUAGGGUUAGGGUUAGGGUUAGGUUUGCAGCUAGGGUUAGGGUUAGGGUUAUGGUUUGAGCUAGGGUUAGGGUUAGGGUUGGAGUUAGGGUUAGGGUUAGGGUUGGAGCUAGGGUUAGGGUUAGGGUUGGAGUUAGGGUUAGGGUUAGGGUUGGUGCUAGGGUAAGGGUUAGGGUUAGGUUUGCAGCUAGGGUUAGGGUUAGGGUUAGUGUUGCAGCUAGGGUUAGGGUUAGGGUUGGAGCUAGGGUUAGGGUUAGGGUUUGGGUUGCAGCUAGGGUUAGGGUUAUGGUUAUGGUUGGAGCUAGUGUUAGGGUUAGUGUUGGAGCUACGGUUAGGGUUAGGGUUGGGGUUAGGGUUAGGGUUAGGGUUGGAGCUAGGGUUAGGGUUAGGGUUAGGGUUGCAGCUAGGGUUGGCGCUAGGGUUAGGGUUAGGGUUCGAGCUAGGGUUAGGGUUAGGGUUAGGGUUGCAGCUAGGGUUAGGGUUAGGGUUAUGGUUAGGGUUGCAGCUAGGGUUAUGGUUAUGGUUAUGGUUGGAGCUAGGGUUAGGGUUAGGGUUGGAGUUUGGGUUAGGGUUAGGGUUGCAGCUAGGGUUAGGGUUAGGUUUAGGGUUGAGGGUAGGGUGAGGGUUGCAGCUAGGGUUAGGUUUGGGGUUGAGGAAAGGGUUAGGGUUAGGGUUGGAGCUAGGGUUAGGGUUAUGGUUGGAGCUAGGGUUAGGGUUGGAGUUAUGGUUCGAGUCGGAGCUAGGGUUAGGGUUAGGGUUAGGGUUGCAGCUAGGGUUAGGGUUAGGGUUGGAGCUAGGGUUAGGGUUAGGGUUGCAGCUAGGGUUAGAGUUAGGGUUAGGUUUGCAGCUAGGGUUAGGGUUAGGGUUAUGGUUUGAGCUAGGGUUAGGGUUAGGGUUGCAGCUAGGUAGGGUUAGGGUUGGAGCUAGGGUUAGGGUUAGGGUUGGAGUUAGGGUUAGGGUUAGGGUUGGUGCUAGGGUUAGGGUUAGGGUUAGGGUUGCAGCUAGGGUUAGGGUUAGGGUUAGUGUUGCAGCUAGGGUUAGGGUUAGGGUUGGAGCUAGGGUUAGGGUUAGGGUUAGGGUUUGAGCUAGGGUUAGGGUUAGGGUUGGAGCUAGGGUUAGGGUUAGGGUUGCAGCUAGGGCUAGGGUUAUGGUUGGAGCUAGGGUUAGGGUUUGAGCUAGGGUUAGGGUUAGGGUUAGUGUUGCAGCUAGGGUUAGGGUUAGGGUUAGGGUUGGAGCUAGGGUUAGGGUUAGGGUUAGGGUUGCAGCUAGGGUUAGGGUUAGGGUUAGGGUUGGAGCUAGGGUUAGGGUUAGGGUUAGGGUUAGGGUUGCAGCUAGGGUUAGGGUUAGGGUUAGGGUUAAGGUUGGAGCUAGGGUUAGGGUUGUAGCUAGGGUUAGGGUUAGGGUUAGGGUUGGAGCUAGGGUUAGGGUUAGGGUUGCAGCUAGGGUUAGGGUUAGGGUUAGGGUUUGAGCUAGGGUUAGGGUUAGGGUUGCAGCUAGGGUUAGGGUUAGGGUUAGGGUUGCAGCUAGGGUUAGGGUUAGGGUUAGGGUUGCAGCUAGGGUUAGGGUUAGGGUUAGGGUUGCAGCUAGGGUUAGGGUUGCAGCUAGGGUUAGGGUUAGGGUUAUGGUUGGAGCUAGGGUUACGGUUGCAGCUAGGGUUAGGGUUAGGGUUAGGGUUAUGGUUGGAGCUAGGGUUAGGGUUAGGGACGGAGCUAGGGUUAGGGUUAGGGUUAGGGUUGCAGCUAGGGUUAGGGUUAGGGUUAGGGUUAGGGUUAAGGGUUGAGGCUGGGGUUCGGGUUAGGGUUAGGGUUGGAGUUAGGGUUAGGGUUAGGGUUGGAGCUAGGGUUAGGGUUAGGGUUAGGGUUGCAGCUAGGGUUAGGGUUAGGGUUGGGUUAGGGUUAGGGUUGGAGCUAGGGUUAGGGUUAGGGUUAGGGUUAGGGUUAGGGUUGCAGCUAGGGUUAGGGUUAUGGUUGGAGCUAGGGUUAGGGUUUGAGCUAGGGUUAGGGUUAGGGUUAGUGUUGCAGCUAGGGUUAGGGUUAGGGUUAGGGUUGGAGCUAGGGUUAGGGUUAGGGUUAGGGUUGCAGCUAGGGUUAGGGUUAGGGUUAGGGUUGGAGCUAGGGUUAGGGUUAGGGUUAGGGUUAGGGUUGCAGCUAGGGUUAGGGUUAGGGUUAGGGUUAAGGUUGGAGCUAGGGUUAGGGUUGUAGCUAGGGUUAGGGUUAGGGUUAGGGUUGGAGCUAGGGUUAGGGUUAGGGUUGGAGCUAGGGUUAGGGUUAGGGUUAGGGUUUGAGCUAGGGUUAGGGUUAGGGUUGCAGCUAGGGUUAGGGUUAGGGUUAGGGUUGAAGCUAGGGUUAGGGUUAGGGUUAGGGUUGCAGCUAGGGUUAAGGUUAGGGUUAGGGUUGCAGCUAGGGUUAGGGUUGCAGCUAGGGUUAGGGUUAGGGUUAUGGUUGGAGCUAGGGUUACGGUUGCAGCUAGGGUUAGGGUUAGGGUUAGGGUUAUGGUUGGAGCUAGGGUUAGGGUUAGGGACGGAGCUAGGGUUAGGGUUAGGGUUAGGGUUGCAGCUAGGGUUAGGGUUAGGGUUAGGGUUAGGGUAAGGGUUGAGGCUGGGGUUCGGGUUAGGGUUAGGGUUGGAGUUAGGGUUAGAGUUAGGGUUGGAGCUAGGGUUAGGGUUAGGGUUAGGGUUGGAGCUAGGGUUAGGGUUAGGGUUGGAGUUAGGGUUAGGGUUGGAGCUAGGGUUAGGGUUAGGGUCAGGGUUGCAGCUAGGGUUAGGGUUAGGGUUAGGGUUGGAGCUAGGGUUAGGGUUAGGGUUGCAGCUAGGGUUAGGGUUAGGGUUAGGGUUGGAGUUAGGGUUAGGGUUAGGGUUGCAGCUAGGGUUAGGGUUAGGGUUGGUGCUAGGGUAAGGGUUAGGGUUAGGGUUGCAGCUAGGGUUAGGGUUAGGGUUAGUGUUGCAGCUAGGGUUAGGGUUAGGGUUGGAGCUAGGGUUAGGGUUAGGGUUAUGGUUAGGGUUGGAGCUAGGGUUAGGGUUAGGGUUGGAGCUACGGUUAGGGUUAGGGUUGGAGCUAGGGUUAGGGUUAGGGUUAGGGUUGGAGCUAGGGUUAGGGUUAGGGUUGCAGCUAGGGUUAGGGUUAGGGUUAGUUUUGGAGUUAGGGUUAGGGUUAGGGUUGCAGCUAGGGUUAGGGUUAGGGUUAGGGUUGGAGCUAGGGUUAGGGUUAGGGUUAGGGUUGCAGCUAGGGUUAGGGUUAGGGUUAGGGUUAUGGUUGGAGCUAGGGUUAGGGUUAGGGUUAGGGUUGUAGCUACGGUUAGGGUUAGGGUUAGGGUUGGAGCUAGGGUUAGGGUAGGGUUGCAGCUAGGGUUAGGGAUAGGGUUGGAGUUAGGGUUAGGGUUAGGGUUGAGGCUGGGGUUAGGGUUAGGGUUGGAGCUAGGGUUAGGGUUAGGGUUGGAGUUAGGGUUAGGGUUUGAGCUAGGGUUAGGGUUAGGGUUGCAGCUAGGGUUAGGGUAAGGGUUUGAGCUAGGGUUAGGGUUGGGUUGCAGCUAGGGUUAGGGUUAGGGUUGGAGCUAGGGUUAGGGUUAGUGUUGCAGAUAGGGUUAGGGUUAAGGUUGGAGCUAGGGUUAGGGUUAGGGUUGCAGCUAGGGUUAGGGUUAGGGUUGCAGCUAGGGUUAGGGUUAGGGUUAGGGUUAUGGUUGGAGCUAGGGUUAGGGUUAGGGUUGGAGCUAGGGUUAGGGUUAGGGUUGAGCUAGGGUUAGGGUUAGGGUUGGAGUUAGGGUUAGGGUUAGGGUUGGUGCUAGGGUAAGGGUUAGGGUUAGGGUUGCAGCUAGGGUUAGGGUUAGGGUUAGUGUUGCAGCUAGGGUAAGGGUUAGGGUUGGAGCUAGGUUUAGGGUUAGGGUUUGGGUUGCAGCUAGGGUUAGGGUUAUGGUUAUGGUUGGAGCUAGGGUUAGGGUUAGGGUUGCAGCUAGGGUUAGGGUUAGGGUUGGAGCUAGGGUUAGGGUUAGGGUUGGAGCUAGGGUUAGGGUUAGGGUUGGAGCUAGGGUUAGGGUUAGGGUUAGGGUUGGAGCUAGGGUUAGGGUUAGGGUUAGGGUUGCAGCUAGGGUUAGGGUUAGGGUUAGGGUUAGGGCUAGGGUUAGGGUUGGAGCUAGGGUUAGGGUUAGGGUUGGAGCUAGGGUUAGGGUUAGGGUUGGAGCUAGGGUUAGGGUUAGGGUUAGGGUUGGAGCUAGGGUUAGGGUUAGGGUUGCAGCUAGGGUUAGGGUUAGGGUUAGGGUUAGGGUUGGAGUUAGGGUUAGGGUUAGGGUUGCAGCUAGGGUUAGGGUUAGGGUUAGGGUUGGAGCUAGGGUUAGGGUUAGGGUUGCAGCUAGGGUUAGGGUUAGGGUUAGGGUUAUGGUUGGAGCUAGGGUUAGGGUUUUGAGCUAGGGUUAGGGUUAGGGUUAGUGUUGCAGCUAGGGUUAGGGUUAGGGUUAGGGUUGCAGCUAGGGUUAGGGUUAGGGUUAGGGUUAGGGUUGGAGCUAGGGUUAGGGUUAGGGUUUGAGCUAGGGUUAGGGUUAGGGUUAGGGUUAGUGUUGCAGCUAGGGUUAGGGUUAGGGUUAGGGUUGGAGCUAGGGUUAGGGUUAGGGUUAGGGUUGCAGCUAGGGUUAGGGUUAGGGUUAUGGUUGGAGCUAGGGUUAGGGUUAGGGUUGUAGCUAGGGUUAGGGUUAGGGUUAGGGUUAGGGUUGGAGCCAGGGUUAGGGUUAGGGUUGCAGCUAGGGUUAGGGUUAGGGUUGGAGUAAGGGUUAGGGUUAGGGUUGAGGCUGGGGUUAGGGUUAGGGUUUGAGCUAGGGUUAGGGUUAGGGUUAGGGUUGCAGCUAGGGUUAGGGUUAGGGUUAGGGUUGGAGCUAGGGUUAGGGUUAGGGUUAGGGUUGCAGCUAGGGUUAGGGUUAGGGUUAGGGUUAAGGUUUGAGCUAGGGUUGGGGUUAGGGUUAGGGUUGUAGCAAGGGUUAGGGUUAGGGUUAGGGUUGGAGCUAGGGUUAGGGUUAGGGUUGCAGCUAGGGUUAGGGUUAGGGUUAGGGUUGGAGUUAGGGUUAGGGUUAGGGUUGGAGCUCGGGUAAGGGUUAGGGUUAGGGUUGCAGCUAGGGUUAGGGUUAUGGUUAGUGUUGCAGCUAGGGUUAGGGUUAGGGUUGGAGCUAGGGUUAGGGUUAGGGUUGCAGCUAGGGUUAGGGUUAUGGUUGGAGCGAGGGUUAGGGUUAGGGUUGCAGCUAGGGUUAGGGUUAGGGUUGGAGCUAGGGUUAGGGUUAGGGUUGGAGUUAGGGUUAGGGUUAGGGUUGGAGCUAGGGUUAGGGUUAGGGUUGCAGCUAGGGUUAGGGUUAGGGUUAGAGUUAUGGUUGGAGCUAGGGUUAGGGUUAGGGUUAGGGUUGGAGCUAGGGUUAGGGUUAGGGUUAGGGUUGGAGCUAGGGUUAGGGUUAGGGUUGGAGCUAGGGUUAGGGUUAGGGUUAGGGUUGCAGCUAGGGUUAGGGUUAGGGUUUGAGCUAGGGUUAGGGUUAGGGUUAGUGUUGCAACUAGGGUUAGGGUUAGGGUUAGAGUUAGGGUUAGGGUUAGGGUUGCAGCUAGGGUUAGGGUUAGGGUUAGGGUUAUGGUUGGAGCUAGGGUUAGGGUUAGGGUUAGGGUUGUAGCUAGGGUUAGGGUUAGGGUUAGGGUUGGAGCCAGGGUUAGGGUUAGGGUUGCAGCUAGGGUUAGGUUUAGGGUUGGAGUAAGGGUUAGGGUUAGGGUUGAGGCUGGGGUUAGGGUUAGGGUUGGAGCUAGGGUUAGGGUUAGGGUUGGAGUUAGGGUUAGGGUUGGAGCUAGGGUUAGGGUUAGGGUUGCAGCUAGGGUUAGGGUAAGGGUUUGAGCUAGGGUUAGGGUUGGGUUGCAGCUAGGGUUAGGGUUAGGGUUGGAGCUAGGGUUAGGGUUAGGGUUGCAGCUAGGGUUAGGGUUAGGGUUGAGCUAGGGUUAGGGUUAGGGUUGCAGCUAGGGUUAGGGUUAGGGUUGAGGCUGGGGUUGGGGUUAGGGUUAGGGUUGCAGCUAGGGUUAGGGUUAGGGUUGGAGCUAGGGUUAGGGUUAGGGUUGGAGUUAGGGUUAGGGUUAAAGCUAGGGUUAGGGUUAGGGUUAGGGUUGCAGCUAGGGUUAAGGUUAGGGUUAGGUUUGCAGCUAGGGUUAGGGUUAGGGUUAGGGUUGCAGCUAGGGUUAGGGUUAGGGUUAUGGUUGGAGCUAGGGUUAGGGUUAGGGUUGGAGUUUGGGUUAGGGUUAGGGUUGCAGCUAGGGUUAGGGUUAGGUUUAGGGUUGAGGGUAGGGUUAGGGUUGCAGCUAGGGUUAGGGUUGGGGUUGAGGAAAGGGUUAGGGUUAGGGUUGGAGCUAGGGUUAAGGUUAGGGUUGGAGCUAGGGUUAGGGUUAGGGUUAGGGUUCGAGUGGAGCUAGGGUUAGGGUUAGGGUUAGGGUUGCAGCUAGGGUUAGGGUUAGGGUAAGAGCUAGGGUUAGGGUUAGGGUUGCAGCUAGGGUUAGGGUUAGGGUUAGGUUUGCAGCUAGGGUUAGGGUUAGGUUUAGGGUUUGAGCUAGGGUUAGGGUUAGGGUUGGAGUUAGGGUUAGGGUUAGGGUUGGAGCUAGGGUUAGGGUUAGGGUUGGAGUUAGGGUUAGGGUUAGGGUUGGUGCUAGGGUUAGGGUUAGGGUUAGGGUUGCAGCUAGGGUUAGGGUUAGGGUUAGUGUUGCAGCUAGGGUUAGGGUUAGGGUUGGAGCUAGGGUUAGGGUUAGGGUUGCAGCUAGGGUUAGGGUUAGGGUUAUGGUUGGAGCUAGGGUUAGGGUUAGUGUUGCAGCUAGGGUUAGGGUUAGGGUUGAGCUAGGGUUAGGGUUAGGGUUGCAGCUAGGGUUAGGGUUAGGGUUUAGGGUUAGGGUUAGGGUUGGAGCUAGGGUUAGGGUAGGGGGUUAGGGUUGGAGUUAGGGUAGUGUUAGGGUUAGGGUUGCAGCUAGGGUUGGAGUUAGGGUUAGGGUUAGGGUUGGAGCUAGGGUUAGGGUUAGGGUUGGAGCUAGGGUUAGGGUUGGGUUAGGGUUAUGGUUGGAGCUAGGGUUAGGGUUAGGGUUAGGGUUUGCAGCUAGGGUUAGGGUUAGGGUUGUUGAGCUAGGGUUAGGGUUAGGGUUGCAGCUAGGGUUAGGGUUAGGGUUAGGGUUUGCAGCUAGGGUUAGGGUUAGGGUUAGGUUUGAGCUAGGGUUAGGGUUAGGGUUGGAGCUAUGGUUAGGGUUAGGGUUAGGGUUGGAGCUAGGGUUAGGGUUAGGGUUGCAGCUAGGGUUAGGGUUAGGGUUGGAGUUAGGGUUAGGGUUAGGGUUGAGCUAGGUUAGGGUUAGGGUUAGGGUUGGAGCUAGGGUUAGGGUUAGGGUUGGAGCUAGGGUUAGGGUUAGGGUUGCAGCUAGGUUAGGGUUAGGGUUAGGUUAUGGUUGGAGCUAGGGUUAGGGUUAGGGUUGGGUUGCAGCUAGGGUUAGGGUUAGGGUUAGGGUUGCAGCUAGGGUUGGAGCUAGGGUUAGGGUUAGGGUUGGAGCUAGGGUUAGGGUUAGGGUUGCAGCUAGGGUAUUAGGGUUAGGGUUGCAGCUAGGGUUGGAGCUAGGGUUAGGGUUAGGGUUGAGCUAGGGUUAGGGUUAGGGUUAGGGUUGCAGCUAGGGUUAGGGUUAGGGUUGGAGCUAGGGUUAGGGGGUUUGAGCUAGGGUUAGGGUUAGGGUUAGGUUGCAGCUAGGGUUAGGGUUAGGGUUGGAGCUAGGGUUAGGGUUAGGGUUAGGGUUGCAGCUAGGGUUAGGGUUAGGGUUGGAGUUAGGGUUAGGGUUAGGGUUGCAGCUAGGGUUAGGGUUAGGGUUAGGGUUAAGGUUGGAGCUAGGGUUAGGGUUGGAGCUAGGGUUAGGGUUAGGGUUAGGGUUGGAGCUAGGGUUAGGAUUAGGGUUGCAGCUAGGGUUAGGGUUAGGGUUGGAGUUAGGGUUAGGGUUGGAGCUAGGGUUAGGGUUAGGGUUAGGGUUUGAGCUAGGGUUAGGGUUAGGGUUGGAGCUAGGGUUAGGGUUAGGGUUAGGGUUGCAGCUAGGGUUAGGGUUAGGGUUAGGGUUGCAGCUAGGGUUAGGGUUAGGGUUAGGGUUGCAGCUAGGGUUAGGGUUGCAGCUAGGGUUAGGGUUAGGGUUAGGGUUAGGGUUGGAGCUAGGGUUAGGGUUGCAGCUAGGGUUAGGGUUAGGGUUAGGGUUAGGGUUAGCAGGGUAGGGUUAGGGUUAGGGUUGAGCUAGGGUUAGGGUUAGGGUUAGGGUUGCAGCUAGGGUUAGGGUUAGGGUUAGGGUUGGAGCUAGGGUUAGGGUUAGGGUUGCAGCUAGGGUUAGGGUUAGGGUUAGGGUUGGAGCUAGGGUUAGGGUUAGGGUUGGAGCUAGGGUUAGGGUUAGGGUUGGAGCUACGGUUAGGGUUAGGGUUGGAGUUAGGGUUAGGGUUAGGGUUAGGGCUGGAGCUAGGGUUAGGGUUAGGGUUAGGGUUGCAGCUAGGGUUAGGGAUAGGGUUAGGGUUAAGGUUGGAGCUAGGAUUAGGGUUGUAGCUAGGGUUAGGGUUAGGGUUAGGGUUAGGUUUAGGGUUGGAGCCAUGGUUAGGGUUAGGGUUAGGGUUGCAGCUAGGGUUGGCGCUAGGGUUAGGGUUAGGGUUCGAGCUAGGGUUAGGGUUAGGGUAAGGGUUGCAGCUAGGGUUAGGGUUAGGGUUAUGGUUGGAGCUAGGGGUAGGGUUUGAGCUAGGGUUAGGGUUAGGGUUAGUGUUGCAGCUAGGGUUAGGGUUAGGGUUAAGGUUGGAGCUAGGGUUAGGGUUAUGGAUAGGGUUGAGCUAGGGUUAGGGUUAGGGUUAGGGUUGGAGCUAGGGUUAGGGUUGGAGCUAGGGUUAGGGUUGCAGCAAGGGUUAGGGUAGGGUUUUAGCUAGGGUUAGGGUUAGGGUGCAGCUAGGGUUAGGGUUAGGGUUGGAGCUAGGGUUAGGGUUAGGGUUGCAGCUAGGGUUAGGUUUAGGGUUAGGGUUGGAGUUAGGGUUAGGGUUGCAGCUAGGGUUAGGGUUAGGGUUGAGGCUGGGGUUGGGGUUAGGGUUAGGGUUGCAGCUAGGAUUAGGGUUAGGGUUGGAGCUAGGGUUAGGGUUAGGGUUGGAGUUAGGGUUAGGGUUAGGGUUGCAGCUAGGGUUAGGGUUAGGGUUAGGGUUGAGGCUAGGGUUAGGGUUAGGGUUAGGGUUGCAGGUAGGGUUAGGGUUAGGGUUGAGAGGGUUAGGGUUAGGGUUAGGGUUGAGGUUAGGGUUAGGGUUGCAGCUAGGGUUAGGGUUAGGGCAGCUAGGGUUAGGGUUAGGGUGAGAGGCUAGGGUUAGAGGGUUAGGGUUAGGGUUGGAGCUAGGGUUAGGGUUAGGGUUGGAGUAGGGUUAGGGUUGGGCUAGGGUUUGAGUUAGGGUCAGGGUUGCAGCUAGGGUUAGGGUUAGGGUUGAGCUAGGGUUAGGGUUAGGGUUAGGGUUGCAGCUAGGGUUAGGGUUAGGGUUAGGGUUUGCAGCUAGGGUUAGGGUUAGGGUUAGGGUUGGAGGGUUAGGGUUAGGGUUGCAGCUAGGGUUAGGGUUAGGGUUAGGGUUAGGUUGCAGCUAGGGUUAGGGUUAGGGUUGCAGCUAGGUUUAGGGUUAGGGUUGUAGCUACGGUUGGGGUUAGGGUUGGAGCUAGGGUUAGGGUUAGGGUUAGGGUUGGAGCUAGGGCUAGGGUUAGGGUUGCAGCUAGGGUUGGCGCUAGGGUUAGGGUUAGGGUUCGAGCUAGGGUUAGGGUUAGGGUUAGGGUUGCAGCUAGGGUUAGGGUUAUGGUUGGAGCUAGGGUUAGGGUUUAAGCUAGGGUUAGGGUUAGGGUUAGUGUUGCAGUUAGGGUUGGAUAGGGUUAGGGUUAGGGUUGGAGCUAGGGUUAGGGUUAGGGUUAGGGUUGCAGCUAGGGUUAGGGUUAGGGUUAGGGUUAUGGUUGGAGCUAGGGUUAGGGUUGUAGCUAGGGUUAGGGUUAGGGUUAGGGUUGGAGCUAGGGUUAGGGUUAGGGUUGCAGCUAGGGUUAGGGUUAGGGUUGGAGUUAGGGUUAGGGUUUGAGCUAGGGUUAGGGUUAGUGUUAGGGUUUGAGCUAGGGUUACGGUUAGGGUUGGAGCUAGGGUUAGGGUUAGGGUUAGGGUUGCGAGCUAGGGUUGGCGUUAGGGUUAGGGUUGCAGAGGGUUAGGGUGCAAGGGUUAGGGUUAGGGUUAGGGUUAGGGUUAGGGUUGCAGGCUAGGGUUAGGGUUAGGGUUGGAGCUAGGGUUAGGGUUAGGGUUGCAGCUAGGGUUAGGGUUUAGGGUUAGGGUUGGAGUUAGGGUUAGGGUUUGCUAGGGUUAGGGUUAGGGUUAGGGUUGCAGCUAGGGUUAGGGUUAGGGUUAGGGUUAGGGUUAGGGUUGCAGCUAGGGUUAGGGUUAGGGUUGCAGCUAGGGUUAGGGUUAGGGUUGAGGCUGGGGGGUGAUUAGGGUUAGGUUGGAGCUAGGGUUAGGGUUAGGGUUGGAGUUAGGGUUAGGGUUGGAGCUAGGGUUAGGAGUUAGGGUUAGGGUUGAGCUAGGGUUAGGGUUAGGGUUGAGCUGGGUUAGUUAGGGUUAGGUUGCAGCUAGGGUUAGGGUUAGGGUUAGGGUUGGGUUGAGCUAGGGUUAGGGUUGCUAGGGUUAGGGUUGGGUAGGUUGAGCUAGGGUUAGGGUUAGGGUUAGGGUUGUUGGUAGGGUUAGGGUUAGGUUAGGUUAGGGUUAGGGUUAGGGUUAGGGUUAGGGUUGGUUAGGGAGCUAGGGUUAGGGUUAGGGUUAGGUUGCAGCUAGGGUUAGGGUUAGGGUUCAGCUAGGGUUAGGGUUGCAGCUAGGGUUAGGGUUAGGGUUAGGUUUGCAGCUAGGGUUAGGGUUAGGGUUAGGGUUGGAGCUAGGGUUAGGGUUAGGGUUUGAGCUAGGGUUAGGGUUAGGGUUGGAGCUAGGGUUAGGGUUAGGGUCAGGGUUGAAGCUAGGGUUAGGGUUAGGGUUAGGGUUAGGGUUGCAGCUAGGGUUAGGGUUAGGGUUAGGUUUGCCGCUAGGGUUAGGGUUAGGGUUAGGGUUGGAGCUAGGGUUAGGGUUAGGGUUUGAGCUAGGGUUAGGGUUAGGGUUAGGGUUAGGGUUAGGGUUGCAGCUAGGGUUAGGGUUAGGGUUAGGGUUGCAGCUAGGGUUAGGGUUAGGGUUAGGGUUGCAGCUAGGGUUAGGGUUAGGGUUGAGGCUGGGGUUAUGGUUAGGGUUAGGGUUGGAGCUAGGGUUAGGGUUAGGGUUGGAGUUAGGGUUAGGGUUGGAGCUAGGGUUAGGGUUAGGGUCAGGGUUGAAGCUAGAGUUAGGGUUAGGGUUAGGGUUAGGGUUGCAGCUAGGGUUAGGGUUAGGGUUAGGUUUGCAGCUAGGGUUAGGGUUAGGGUUAGGGUUGGAGCUAGGGUUAGGGUUAGGGUUUGAGCUAGGGUUAGGGUUAGGGUUAGUGUUGAAGCUAGGGUUAGGGUUAGGGUUAGGGUUGCAGCUAGGGUUAGGGUUAGGGUUAGGUUUGCAGCUAGGGUUAGGGUUAGGGUUAGGGUUGGAGCUAGGGUUAGGGUUUGAGCUAGGGUUAGGGUUGGAGCUAGGGUUAGGGUUAGGGUCAGGGUUGAAGCUAGGGUUAGGGUUAGGGUUAGGGUUAGGGUUGCAGCUAGGGUUAUGGUUAGGGUUAGGUUUGCAGCUAGGGUUAGGGUUAGGGUUAGGGUUGGAGCUAGGGUUAGGGUUAGGGUUUGAGCUAGGGUUAGGGUUAGGGUUAGUGUUGCAGCUAGGGUUUGGGUUAGGGUUAGGGUUGGAGCUAGGGUUAGGGUUAGGGUUAGGGUUGCAGCUAGGGUCAGGGUUAGGGUUAGGGUUAUGGUUGGAGCUAGGGUUAGGGUUAGGGUUUGAGUUAGGGUUAGGGUUAGGGUUGGCGCUAGGGUUAGGGUUAGGGUUGCAGCUAGGGUUAGGGUUAGGGUUUGAGUUAGGGUUAGGGUUGAGGCUGGGGUUAGGGUUAGGGUUGGAGCUAGGGUUAGGGUUAGGGUUGGAGUUAGGGUUAGGGUUGGAGCUAGGGUUAGGGUUGCAGCAAGGGUUAGGGUAAGGGUUUUAGCUAGGGUUAGGGUUAGGGUUGCAGCUAGGGUUAGGGUUAGGGUUGGAGCUAGGGUUAGGGUUAGGGUUGCAGCUAGGGUUAGGUUUAGGGUUAGGGUUGGGGUUAGGGUUAGGGUUGCAGCUAGGGUUAGGGUUAGGGUUGAGGCUGGGGUUGGGGUUAGGGUUAGGGUUGCAGCUAGGGUUAGGGUUAGGGUUGGAGCUAGGGUUAGGGUUAGGGUUGGAGUUAGGGUUAGGGUUAGGGUUGCAGCUAGGGUUAGGGUUAGGGUUAGGGUUGAGGCUAGGGUUAGGGUUAGGGUUAGGGUUGCAGGUAGGGUUAGGGUUAGGGUUGCAGCUAGGGUUAGGGUUAGGGUUAGGGUUAGGGUUGCAGCUAGGGUUAGGGUUAGGGUUGCAGCUAGGGUUAGGGUUAGGGUUGAGGCUGGGGUUAUGAUUAGGGUUAGGGUUGGAGCUAGGGUUAGGGUUAGGGUUGGAGUAAGGGUUAGGGUUGGAGCUAGGGUUAGGGUUAGGGUUAGGGUUGCAGCUAGGGUUAGGGUUAGGGUUAGGUUUGCAGCUAGGGUUAGGGUUAGGGUUAGGGUUGGAGCUAGGGUUAGGGUUGCAGCUAGGGUUAGGGUUAGGGUUAGGGUUAUGGUUGGAGCUAGGGUUAGGGUUAGGGUUGGAGCUAGGGUUAGGGUUAGGGUUAGGGUUGCAGCUAGGGUUAGGGUUAGGGUUAGGGUUGGAGCUAGGGUUAGGGUUAGGGUUGCAGCUAGGGUUAGGGUUAGGGUUAGGGUUGGAGUUAGGGUUAGGGUUGCAGCUAGGGUUAGGGUAAUGGUUGAGGCUGGGGUUAGGGUUAGGGUUAGGGUUGGAGCUAGGGUUAGGGUUAGGGUUGGAGUUAGGGUUAGGGUUGGAGCUAGGGUUAGGGUUAGGGUUGCAGCUAGGGUUAGGGUUAGGGUUGAGGCUGGGGUUAUGGUUAGGGUUAGGGUUGGAGCUAGGGUUUGGGUUAGGGUUGGAGUUAGGGUUAGGGUUGGAGCUAGGGUUAGGGUUAGGGUCAGGGUUGCAGCUAGGGUUAGGGUUAGGGUUUGAGCUAGGGUUAGGGUUAGGGUUAGGGUUGCAGCUAGGGUUAGGGUUAGGGUUAGGGUUGCAGCUAGGGUUAGGGUUAGGGUUAGGGUUUCAGCUAGGGUUAGGGUUAGGGUUAGGGUUGCAGCUAGGGUUAGGGUAAGGGUUUGAGCUAGGGUUAGGGUUGCAGCUAGGGUUAGGGUUAGGGUUAGGGUUAGGGUUAGGGUUGGAGCUAGGGUUAGGGUUAGGGUUGCAGCUAGGGUUAGGGUUAGGGUUAGGGUUGCAGCUAGGGUUAGGGUUAGGGUUAGGGUUUCAGCUAGGGUUAGGGUUAGGGUUAGGGUUGCAGCUAGGGUUAGGGUAAGGGUUAGGGUUUGAGCUAGGGUUAGGGUUGCAGCUAGGGUUAGGGUUAGGGUUAGGGUUGGAGCUAGGGUUAGGGUUAGGGUUGCAGCUAGGGUUAGGGUUAGGGUUAGGGUUGCAGCUAGGGUUAGGGUUAGGGUUAGGGUUGGAGCUAGGGUUAGGGUUAGGGUUGCAGCUAGGGUUAGGGUUGGAGCUAGGGUUAGGGUUUGGGUUGCAGGUAGGGUUAGGGUUAGGGUUGGAGCUAGGGUUAGGGUUAGGGUUGCAGCUAGGGUUAGGGUUAGGGUUGGAGCUAGGGUUAGGGUUAGGGUUGCAGCUAGGGUUAGGGUUAGGGUUGAAGCUAGGGUUAGGGUUAGGGUUAGGGUUAUGGUAGGAGCCAGGGUUAGGGUUAGGGUUAGGGUUCGAGCUAGGGUUAGGGUUAGGGUUAGGGUUAGGGUUAGGGUUGCAGCUAAGGUUAGGGUUAGGGUUGCAGCUAGGGAUAGGUUUAGGGUUGGAGCUAGGGUUAGCGUUAGGGUUGCAGCUUGGGUUAGGGUUAGGGUUAGCGUUGGAGUUAGGGUUAGGGUUAGGGUUUCAGCUAGGGUUAGGGUUAGGGUUAGGGUUGAGGCUAGGGUUAGGGUUAGGGUUAGGGUUGCAGGUAGGGUUAGGGUUAGGGUUGCAGCUAGGGUUAGGGUUAGGGUUAGGGUUGCAGCUAGGGUUAGGGUUAGGGUUGCAGCUAGGGUUAGGGUUAGGGUUGAGGCUGGGGUUAUGAUUAGGGUUAGGGUUGGAGCUAGGGUUAGGGUUAGGGUUGGAGUUAGGGUUAGGGUUGGAGCUAGGGUUAGGGUUAGGGUUAGGGUUGCAGCUAGGGUUAGGGUUAGGGUUAGGUUUGCAGCUAGGGUUAGGGUUAGGGUUAGGGUUGGAGCUAGGGUUAGGGUUGCAGCUAGGGUUAGGGUUAGGGUUAGGGUUAUGGUUGGAGCUAGGGUUAGGGUUAGGGUUGGAGCUAGGGUUAGGGUUAGGGUUAGGGUUGCAGCUAGGGUUAGGGUUAGGGUUAGGGUUGGAGCUAGGGUUAGGGUUAGGGUUGCAGCUAGGGUUAGGGUUAGGGUUAGGGUUGGAGUUAGGGUUAGGGUUGCAGCUAGGGUUAGGGUUAUGGUUGAGGCUGGGGUUAGGGUUAGGGUUAGGGUUGGAGCUAGGGUUAGGGUUAGGGUUGGAGUUAGGGUUAGGGUUGGAGCUAGGGUUAGGGUUAGGGUUGCAGCUAGGGUUAGGGUUAGGGUUGAGGCUGGGGAUAUGGUUAGGGUUAGGGUUGGAGCUAGGGUUUGGGUUAGGGUUGGAGUUAGGGUUAGGGUUGGAGCUAGGGUUAGGGUUAGGGUCAGGGUUGCAGCUAGGGUUAGGGUUAGGGUUUGAGCUAGGGUUAGGGUUAGGGUUAGGGUUGCAGCUAGGGUUAGGGUUAGGGUUAGGGUUGCAGCUAGGGUUAGGGUUAGGGUUAGGGUUUCAGCUAGGGUUAGGGUAAGGGUUUGAGCUAGGGUUAGGGUUGCAGCUAGGGUUAGGGUUAGGGUUAGGGUUAGGGUUAGGGUUGCAGCUAGGGUUAGGGUUAGGGUUGCAGCUAGGGUUAGGGUUAGGGUUAGGGUUGCAGCUAGGGUUAGGGUUAGGGUUAGGGUUUCAGCUAGGGUUAGGGUUAGGGUUAGGGUUGCAGCUAGGGUUAGGGUAAGGGUUAGGGUUUGAGCUAGGGUUAGGGUUGCAGCUAGGGUUAGGGUUAGGGUUAGGGUUGGAGCUAGGGUUAGGGUUAGGGUUGCAGCUAGGGUUAGGGUUAGGGUUAGGGUUGCAGCUAGGGUUAGGGUUAGGGUUAGGGUUGGAGCUAGGGUUAGGGUUAGGGUUGCAGCUAGGGUUAGGGUUGGAGCUAGGGUUAGGGUUGGGUUGCAGGUAGGGUUAGGGUUAGGGUUGGAGCUAGGGUUAGGGUUAGGGUUGCAGCUAGGGUUAGGGUUAGGGUUGGAGCUAGGGUUAGGGUUAGGGUUGCAGCUAGGGUUAGGGUUAGGGUUGAAGCUAGGGUUAGGGUUAGGGUUAGGGUUAUGGUAGGAGCCAGGGUUAGGGUUAGGGUUAGGGUUCGAGCUAGGGUUAGGGUUAGGGUUAGGGUUAGGGUUAGGGUUGCAGCUAAGGUUAGGGUUAGGGUUGCAGCUAGGGAUAGGUUUAGGGUUGGAGCUAGGGUUAGCGUUAGGGUUGCAGCUUGGGUUAGGGUUAGGGUUAGCGUUGGAGUUAGGGUUAGGGUUAGGGUUGCAGCUAGGGUUAGGGUUACGGGUUAGGGUUGAGGCUGGGGUUAGGGUUAGGGUUGUAGCUAGGGUUAGGGUUAGGGUUGGAGCUAGGGUUAGGGUUAGGGUUGAGGCUAGGGUUAGGGUUAGGGUUGCAGCUAGGGUUAGGGUUAGGGUUAGGGUUAGGGGUUAGGGUUAGGGUUAGGGGUUAGGGUUAGGGUUAGGGUUAGGGUUAGACUAAGACCAAUAGACACGUACUGACCAGUUUUAUAUGGCACAUUUACAGUUUCCAUGCAUGCAGACAGAUGUUGUUUUUUUUUACUUAAAAUUGAAUCAGUCGCUUAAUAUUGAUCAUCUGUGAUCUGUAGGAUAGUCUUGCCUUCUGUGCAACUUUGAGAGACAUAAAAACUCAGCGACAUAAAUUAAGACCAAAUAGACUUUGGAUUUAAUAAUGUUUUGCCACGCUGUUCUGUGCAAGGCUGCUUAGCCAUUUUGUGGCGUCUGUGGCGAGGGUUUUCUUCUUCCUAAUUUUCUCUUUUUUUGCUCCAUUUCCUUGUCUUCUUUUCCCUCCUUUCCAUUUCACCAUGGUGAUCAUGUUGCCUUAUGUCAGUUCAGAAACAGGGAGUAGACAAUUGUUAUGUAUGUUGCAUGGCACUUUGUCAUGACAUCAUAUUUUGCAAACGGCGGCUGGAACCCAAGGGCAGAUAGAUUAGCACUAUUAACCCACCGUGAGAGAUGCACUUGCAUGAGAUGAUGCAUGCAUUCAAAGCAGUCUAUUCACUCACUGACCGCUCAUUUAAGGCCAAAUAGACCCUCAGGCCACAGGGAACAUCUUGGUGCUCUCAACAUACAUCAGUGUCUGGUCCCACGGCUCCUCCUGCCAGAUUGCCUCUGUGCAUGCCUUGGCAUUGCUGCAAAUAGCUCCAAUCAAGAUGCUAUCGUGAAUGAAAAUACCCACACCACAUUCAAAAGACAGAUACAGAGUGGCUCAGCUCAUAGUGUCAUAACUUUUGCAACAUGGACUUCUUUUGCUUCCCAAAGCCAUAAAAUCAACAUAAAGAGCCCAGGCAGAGAGCUCUUUUCAUUAUGUGGUGAACAUCAGAGGAGGCAGUGGUUAGUGAACGCCCUCUCUUUAAUGGGCUCAUAUUUUCUGGUUCAAGCAAUGAUGGCAGACUGAGCAUUAUUCAUUAUUUAUUAUAUUAAUAUAAGUGCAUGGAUACACCAUGAUUUAAGGUCAAACAGGUAGAGCCCUGAUUCAAGAGUCAGCCUUUGUUAGUAAACCAGGAGUUACAUUUGUUGCCAUCAUUUUUUUAGUCAGAGCUCAAUCUUAAACCCCUCACUCUUCUGGUAUUUAAUUGUGCUCAAAUGGACAUGUUUACAGGGAGGCUUUAAUGGUUCCACUGCUGAUGGUUUCAUGUAUCCGUAAUCAUUACUGUAAAAUCCACUCUAGAGCCUCACAGAGGAGUUAGCACUGCAAGGUUUUAUCCUCUGCCAUUAUUCUGUUGCUCUGUUUCCCAUUACUGCGCCAUUACCCCCCCAGCACUGAGCCUUUUUUGUGAUGAACUCAGUGUUUUAGCUGACAUUCGAGACUAAAGUCCAAAUGAGUUUUUCAGGGAUGACCACAGCAGAGCAGCUUUGAGGUGAUGUAAGACUUUCCAGCUUUUGUACAAGGUUGAGAGAGUUUGUGGGCCGUGAAUGGUGACUGACUUGAAACCCAAGCCAGGUCAUCAUUAUUUACGAUGAUUCUCACAGGAGGCAUUCAUUCUUUGUCCUUUUAGGGGCAUACAUAGAGACCCUCUCAAGAAAGAUAUGACUUUAUUUUCCAACACUGAGCCAAGAAAACAUCCCGUUUGAUGUUGCUGGCCAAACACCUCAUCCAAGAAAGCUUUGACAAAGAGCAAUCACAAAGAAAUACUCUCUGAUAUGCAGCAUCUAAUUUUAAGAUAGCAAAAAAUCAGUGUUUCAAAACUGUAUUCAGAGAGGAGUUGAUACUGAAAAAGCAAAGCCAAGGGCACACAUUGGCUUUUAUUUAAAGGUACUUGAGAUCGCCAAAGGGAAACAAAGGCUUGAUUAAUAAUGCACAAGCCUCACUUUGAUUUAAUUAUUCACUAGAUUUCUAAGAAACAAUAAGGGCAACAAUAACAAGAAGUAGAUGUACUGUCAUUUUUUGUCAGUGCGCAGAGGCUGUGAGCUAUGGCAGCUCAUGAUUAAAAUUUAAUACCUCUAUCGGCUACAAUGAUGUGGUACAAAACAAGCUAAUAGAAAGAAGAGUGUGAAGGAGAGGAGAGGGAAAAGGGUAUUUAAAAAGAGGGGAUCAACUUCUAGAGGAGCUCAGAGAGGGAUGAAGGAAGUUUUGCAUUUUAUUUCUUCAAAUUGUUUACCACCACUUUGAAGUUGUCAGCAGUGUUCAUGGAGAAAAACGUCUAUUUAAAACAUUUUUGCUUCUGCUGCUUACUUACAAGAAAAACUUCAAAUCAAACAGCGGAAAUUGACUUGACUCCAAAAGGUAUUUAUCUUUGCAGCAACAACAUAAAGCUUUUUUCUUUAGGUAAAAAAGUGGCUGUAUGAGAGUGUGUAUUUUGUUGUUUUAAGGAGAAUCAAUGUUUGAGCCAAAGGUGAAUGUUUAUACCCGGCUCAGAGACAGCAUCCAUUUGUGGCAUAAAUUUCUACAGGCAUUACUCCAAAGAUGUUUUGUACCCAAGAGAUGUAUCACUUACAGAAAGAGAGUUGAAUACAGAGAACCAGAAAUGGACCAUGAAGGAGCAGACUGAAAUCUACAGCCAACAAUGUCAGACGGUUAAGGGCUGUGUUUGAACUAGUUUGUUAUCAGAGUAAUGAAUUCUGCUGAGCACCUUGAAUUGAAUUAACCCGUAUCCAACACAAGCAAAGAGAAACACAGAUGCAGUUCACCCACACGUUCCUGGGAGAACCCUUCCUUUAAGACAAUUUAAUUGGAUUUUCUUACAUAAAACUUACCUUGCCAAUGUUUUUCAAACUCUAAGAGAAGUGUCCUUAAAAUGAAAACUUGAAAUUGAUUGCUGUGAAUAUGUACUCACAGAUGUGACCAGAGCAGGGCCACUAGUACAGCAGUUUUACAAAUAGAAACGGAGGGAGCAUUUAUAGUGUAGAGAGAGAAAUAAAAAUAAUAGAUGAAACACAAACAGGACAAGUGAGUGAAGAGACCGAGAGCAAGAGUGGGAAUAAGAGGGAGCCUUUCUUCCUCCUCCAAGAGGAACCUGUUUUUACAGCAGCAAUCAGUCAGUGCUGGAGUUGUGGCUGGAAACAGAGACGGAGAGGAUGGAGGGAACAUAAAACAGAUGAUGGGAAAUAACAGCACGGCAGCAUAAACACAGGAGUCACAGUUUUAAAAUGCCAACGUUUACUGCUGGCAGAUGCUCAAACAGGCAGUCUGCGGGAGAGGCAGGGAGAGAAAUGUAACACUCAAGGCACGCCUCCAUACUAUGAAGGUUAUAUACAUCAAUUAAACAGGACGAUGUAUAUAAUUUUUCAAUGAAAUGUAUGUAUGUAUCCUAAACUCCUGUAUAGCAAUAAUAUGCAAAUUUCAUGUUUAGAAAUGAUCAAACAAGAGCUUGGAGUGAAGACAAUAUUUAAAGCAGGUUUAACUUUGAUUUAGAUGAAUAGAAAAUGCUCCUCAUUUUGAUAUUACAGUGAUGGUAUUACAUUUAAUGUCCUGCAGAUGGCAGCAGAGUCAUUUAAGAGAACAGCUCUCAGAUUUCUCCAAGAGAAGAGAAAGAACGUAGUUUAGACAGAAAAGACUGAAAGUGAAAAAUCUAUCUAUCUAUCUAUCUAUCUAUCUAUCUAUCUAUCUAUCUAUCUAUCUAUCUAUCUAUCACCUCAUCUUUGUCCAUCAGUGUCACCUCCUCUCUCAUCCACCUAUGAUAGCUCUUCAGCAGUCAUGUUGGUGACAUUCAGAGAUCAUGAUUCGACAGGCAAAUGGAGUAGAUCCAUCACUUGCACUCGGAGCAGCCUGAGGUAAGAAGGGAUCCUGCUGUCUCGACAUUUUUAUUUAUUUAUUAUUGCUCCUCGGCGCCUCAUUUGCAUCAUCACUGUCUCAGCGCAAAGCAGCUUUCUCCUCUGUGAAUCAGCAGGCAUGUGCCAUGGUACUCCUCUGACACCUUUAGUAUUCUGGCUGGAGCUCAAAUGUCGGUAAAUCUCUUGUUAUAAAAGGUGGCCAUAAACAGCUAAUGGUCUGUCAUGAAUAUUUUAGAGGCCUGAAUAUCAUACAGAAAUGACCUCUGGAAAAACCACAACCCUAACAAGGCACAUCUCAGAUGGAUCACCUCCACAGCCAGUGCAACACGAGGCCACUCUCUCUGGUUCUUUUGGCUUCUCUUUUUUUUUUCCUUUUCGUGGCAUGAUUGGAUUGAUUUGUCAUUUGCAGCAGAGGGAGCUUGGCCACGGGGCUGUGGAUAAUCCAAUUUAUCGCUUUGCCAUUUAUUACAAAUUUCUGUGGCUUUUGGGUCCACUGUCACAUCGAUUCGUUGAUUGCUUGCUUAGCUGGGUCCUAAUGAGCUGCUGUCUGAAUCACUGCAUAAUCACCGCCCUAAUUCACUUCCUUGCCUGCCCUCACACUCGCUCUGUUGGCUCGCCACUAUUAGAAAGGAAUGGACUGAAACACACUCUCUGAGCAGACAAUUAGUAACGUCAUCCUUGAAACAGGCUGUCAUUCUACGAGUAUUAGUCUUUAAUCAAUGACAAUACUACUGCGACUUUGCAGAAUGUUUCACAAAUUGCUUUUUUAAGUGACAAGACGCUUAUUUAGCUCAUUGUGUGCACCCUAUACACACAAAAAUUUAACAGCCACGACGAUAAAGGCAGGGGAAACCACACUAGAGAGUAAAAAUCUGGAUGCAGGCUACAAAGUACAAGGUAUAAAAUAUUAUGCAGUUAUUUUCUUAUAAGUGUGUCCAGGACAUGAGUAAAUAGAUGCAAACAAGUUUAUCUUAAAAAAAAAAUUGUAAAUGAAAAUUGUAAAUGUAAUCCAUUAAAUACUCUGUAAUUACCUUUGAAAAGUGGUUAACAAGAGCUGUAUUUUCCACCCUAUUAACUCUAAUUCCACAGCGACUGAAAUAGCCAUUAAACAAAAAUGUAUCAAUAGAGUCGCCGUAGUUGACUAAACAUUUUUGUCAAGUCCCCACGAUGUAUUCAAUAUAUGUAUAUGUAUGUCCCCAUGAUGACCAAUUUGUGUCAGGACAAGUGUCCCCACAAUGUAUUCAAUAUAUGUAUGCUAUGUCCCCAUGAUGUCCAAUGUAUGUCAAGAUAAGAGUCCCAACAAGUAUUUAAUAUAUGUAUGCUAUGUCCCCAUGAUGUCUAACGUGUGUCAAGAUAAUAGUCCCCACAAUGUAUUUAAUAUAUGUAAUCUAUGUCCCCAUGAUGUUCAACGUGUGUCAAGAUGAAGUCCCCACAAUGUAUUCAAUAUAUGUAAUGUAUGUCCCCAUGAUGACCAAUUUGUGUCAGGACAAGAGUCCCCACAAUGUAUUUAAUAUAUGUAAUCUAUGUCCCCAUGAUGUUCAACGUGUGUCAAGAUGAAGUCCCCACAAUGUAUUCAAUAUAUGUAUUCUAUGUCCCCAUGGUGUUCAACGCGUGUCAAGAUGAAGUCCCCACAAUGUAUUCAAUAUAUGUAAUGUAUGUCCCCAUGAUGACCAAUUUGUGUCAGGACAAGAGUCCCCACAAUGUAUUUAAUAUAUGUAAUCUAUGUCCCCAUGAUGUCCAACGUGUGUCCAGAUAAGAGUCCCCACAAUGUAUUCAAUAUAUAUACGCCAUGUCCCUGUGUUGUCAAAUGUGUGUCCAGUUAAGAGUCCCCACAAUAUAUUCAAUAUAUGUAUGCAAUGUCCCCGUGUUGUCAAAUGUGUGUCCACAUAAAAGUCCCCACAAGUUGGGUAGACAAGAUUGUCUGUGUUGGUUUGGUCCCAAUUAAUUGAUCUGAUAAAAAAUUGUUCUAAAAAUGUCCUCUUGAAAGGACAUGCAUUAAUUUAGUACCUACAUAAGUCUACUUCACUGUAAUUUGUGUCUAGGUAAAGUGGAUGUAUUAGGCCUCCAUAAUUUCAAUGAUAUUAAACUUAGUCUCUACAAUGUCCAGUUAGCAUAAGUCCAUGAACAGAAAAAGAGCCCACAGUGUCUACAUUUAAUGAAUUUAUGUCUAGAAGAGUAUGCAGAAGAAAGUGACACCUUAACCAAUAUUGUUAUAAUGCAGUUCAUAAGAAAGUGACACCUUUACCUCUUUCACACGUUUGUCUUAUUAUAGGUAUUUAGUUGAAUUCAUUUGAAAUUCCAUAUACUACAUGUUAAACUCCAGUUUGCAGACUGUCAUCUAAAGCUAGCAGUAGGCAAACAGUGCAGCGUUGUACCAUCACUUCUCUUUUGUUUGCAAUCAUUCUAUUUGUGUUAUCAGAUAUCUGAGGAGGCUCACUUCAGGAAAGAUGUGAGAGCAAAUAGCACCAGGUGAAAGUUUACUGCUGCACCAAUACCGGCCUGUCUGGGUGGCAUUUAUCAAGCUUGAAGAGGGGCUUAAGGACGCUGGGGGAUCUGUUUGUGGAGAGUCUGGUGGACAAAUACAGCAGGAAACUAAUCAAGCCAUCUAUCAACAAACCAAGUGCACCAUCUGUGUGCUUCAUCGUCUGUCCUGCGCGCUCCUAUAGCUCAGAUUUAUCUGCAGCAGUUUGCAGAGUAAUGAAUGUGAACCAAUAUUGUUGUAAUGCAGUUCAUAAUGCAAUCUACGCAUAUCCCUUCGCCUAAAUUGUAAACAUGUUCAAUCUUGCUGCAUAGUGGACCUCUUGGGUUAGAUCCUGCAGCAAGUAGACCUGAAGUUUCUUUGCACUCAGCACC
rnacentral:lncRNA from 1 species